UACAGAGGUCCCAAGCGUUGUUCGGAUUCAUUGGGCGUAAAGAGCGCGCAGGCGGUCGUUCAAGUCGGAUGUGAAAGCCCCCGGCUCAACUGGGGAGGGUCAUUCGAUACUGAUCGACUCGAAGGCGGGAGAGGGAAGCGGAAUUCCCGGUGUAGUGGUGAAAUGCGUAGAUAUCGGGAGGAACACCAGUGGCGAAGGCGGCUUCCUGGCCCGUUCUUGACGCUGAGGCGCGAAAGCUAGGGGAGCAAACGGG
rnacentral:rRNA from 1 species